UACGGAGGGUGCAAGCGUUGCUCGGAAUUACUGGGCGUAAAGGGCGUGUAGGCGGUUUCGUAUGUCUGGCGUGAAAGCCCCGGGCUCACCUCGGGAAGUGCGUCGGAAACUGCGAGACUAGAGUCCCGGAGAGGGAGGUGGAAUUCCAGGUGUAGCGGUGAAAUGCGUAGAUAUCUGGAAGAACACCGGUGGCGAAAGCGGCCUACCUGGACGGUGACUGGACGCUGAGACGCGAAAGCGUGGGGAGCAAACAGG
rnacentral:rRNA from 1 species